rnacentral:rRNA from 1 species
GACGAACGCUGGCGGCGCGCCUAACACAUGCAAGUCGAACGGAGCUUAGAGAGCUUGCUUUUUAAGCUUAGUGGCGAACGGGUGAGUAACGCGUGAGUAACCUGCCCUAGAGUGGGGGACAACAGUUGGAAACGACUGCUAAUACCGCAUAAGCCCACGGUACCGCAUGGUACUGAGGGAAAAGGAUUUAUUCGCUUUAGGAUGGACUCGCGUCCAAUUAGCUAGUUGGUGAGGUAACGGCCCACCAAGGCGACGAUUGGUAGCCGGACUGAGAGGUUGAACGGCCACAUUGGGACUGAGACACGGCCCAGACUCCUACGGGAGGCAGCAGUGGGGGAUAUUGCACAAUGGGGGAAACCCUGAUGCAGCGACGCCGCGUGGAGGAAGAAGGUUUUCGGAUUGUAAACUCCUGUCGUUAGGGACGAU